rnacentral:rRNA from 1 species
AUGAACGCUGGCGGCGUGCCUAAUACAUGCAAGUCGAGCGAACAGACGAGGAGCUUGCUCCUCUGACGUUAGCGGCGGACGGGUGAGUAACACGUGGAUAACCUACCUAUAAGUCUGGGAUAACUUCGGGAAACCGGAGCUAAUACCGGAUAACAUGUUGAACCGCAUGGUUUAACAGUGAAAGACGGUCUUGCUGUCACUUAUAGAUGGAUCCGCGCCGCAUUAGCUAGUUGGUAAGGUAACGGCUUACCAAGGCAACGAUGCGUAGCCGACCUGAGAGGGUGAUCGGCCACACUGGAACUGAGACACGGUCCAGACUCCUACGGGAGGCAGCAGUAGGGAAGCUUCCGCAAUGGGCGAAAGCCUGACGGAGCAACGCCGCGUGAGUGAAGAAGGUCUUCGGAUCGUAAAACUCUGUUAUUAGGGAAGAACAAAUGUGUAAGUAACUAUGCACGUCUUGACGGUACCUAAUCAGAAAGCCACGGCUAACUACGUG